AGCAGCCGCGGUAAUUCCAGCUCCAAUAGCGUAUAUUAAAGUUGUUGCAGUUAAAAAGCUCGUAGUUGAAUUUCGGAAUUUAUCCGUUGGUCGGGCUUAACUGUCCGUACUGAUGUGAUGGGUUCUUACCUUCUGAAUAACCAACAUGCCAUUAAUUUGGUGUGUUGGGGAAGCAGGACUAUUACCUUGAAAAAAUUAGAGUGCUCAAAGCAGGCUAGUGCCUGAAUACAUUAGCAUGGAAUAAUAAAAUAGGACGGCAUGGUUCUAUUUUGUUGGUUUCUAGGAUCACCGUAAUGAUUAAUAGGGAUAGUUGGGGGCAUUAGUAUUCAAUUGUCAGAGGUGAAAUUCUUGGAUUUAUUGAAGACUAACUUCUGCGAAAGCAUUUGCCAAGGAUGUUUUCAUUAAUCAAGAACGAAAGUUAGGGGAUCAAAGACGAUCAGAUACCGUCGUAGUCUUAACCAUAAACUAUGCCGACUAGGGAUCGGACGAUGUUAAUUUAUAAUGACUCGUUCGGCGCCUU
rnacentral:rRNA from 1 species